rnacentral:rRNA from 1 species
AUUGAACGCUGGCGGCAGGCCUAACACAUGCAAGUCGAGCGAGAGGCGGACGGGGGAGUAAUGUGUGUGGAACUGUCGGAUAGAGGGGGGUAACUCCAGGAGACGCUGGCUAUAAACGCAUAUUAUCGGAUAACAGCAUAUGGGAUUAGCGAGUAGGUGAGGUAAUGGCUCACCUCGGGGACGAUCCCUAGCUGGUCUGAGAGGAUGAUCAGCCACACUGGGACUGAGACACGGCCCAGACUCCUACGGGAGGCAGCAGUGGGGAAUAUUGCACAAUGGGCGCAAGCCUGAUGCAGCCAUGCCGCGUGUAUGAAGAAGGCCCUAGGGUUGUAAAGUACUUUCAGUAGGGAGGCGUUACCGACAGAAGAAGCACCGGCUAACUCCGUGCCAGCAGCCGCGGUAAUAC